UACGUAGGCAGCAAGCGUUGUCCGGAUUUAUUGGGCGUAAAGAGCGUGUAGGCGGCCAGGUAGGUCUGCUGUGAAAACUCGAGGCUCAACCUCGAGACGUCGGCGGAAACCAUCUGGCUAGAGUCCGGAAGAGGAGAGUGGAAUUCCUGGUGUAGCGGUGAAAUGCGCAGAUAUCAGGAAGAACACCCGUGGCGAAGGCGGCUCUCUGGGACGGUACUGACGCUGAGGUGCGAAAGCGUGGGGAGCAAACAGG
rnacentral:rRNA from 1 species